UUUUUUUUUUUUUACAAGGUUCUUUUUUUCUUUUUCUUUUUUGUGCUAAAAGAUUAUGUAUUUGUAUGGUUAUUCGAGUGAGUUUUUUGCUUGUAUAGAGGAGCUCACCAGUAAUCAUAAAUACGAGAUGACUUGCACGCGCGCUGCCUUGGGCAGUAGAAGGAUAUUUACCCCAAAAUAAGGGUUGGGAAGUUCCUUUCCUCCAGGGAUAUAUUACCCCCACAAUUUUGGGGGGAGCCAAAUUUUUCCUGGUAAGGGGAAAGGAAUACGUGGUAACAUGGUAAUUGAAAUUUAAAAAGGCAUUUUAUUAUAACCCCGGAUAAAUAAAAACCCCCUUUCUUGGAUAAAAAAAAAUUUUAANNNNNNNNNNNNNNNNNNNNNNNNNNNNNNNNNNNNNNNNNNNNNNNNNNNNNNNNNNNNNNNNNNNNNNNNNNNNNNNNNNNNNNNNNNNNNNNNNNNNUAUUGUAGCAAUCCACAGUGUUUUGUGAGAAAAACUACAACGCUUUCCUCAUAUGAUUUAGCUUUAUUGUAAUUAUAAUUCUUAACCAACUCAAUAUUAAAAAAAAAAUCGACAAAGAUAAUUUUGGAAAAAAUCAUAAAAAAAUCACAUGGAAAAACACUACAACAAUUCACAGUGUUUUCAAGAAAAAAAAUAACAAAGCUAAAUUCUUAAUCGGCUCAAUAUUAAAAAAAAAUCAACAUAGAUAAUUUUAGAAAAAAAAACAAACACCAAAAAAGGGGGGAAAAUCAUGUUGGAAACACUGUAGCAAUUCACCGUGUUUUGUGAUGAAAGCUACAGUGCUUCCCCACAUGAUUUAGCCUUAUUUGUAAUGACUUGUAAUUGUAAUUCACAAACAACUCAAUAUUAAAAAGAUAAUUUGAAAAAGAUAAUUUGAAAAAAAUUAUAACAAAAAAAACUAUGCGGAGAGGCACCGUAACAAUCCACAAUGUUUUAUGAGCAAAGCUACAAUACUUUCCCCACAUGAUUAAGCUUUAUUACAAAGUUAAAUUUUAACCAACUCAAUAUUUUAAAAAAUAAAAUCGACGAAAAUGAUUUUGGAAAAAAAUAUUACAAAAAAAAAACACAAAAGAAACUGGAAAAAAAACUAUGGGAGAAAAAACUGUAUCAAUCCAUAGUGUUUUUUGAGGAAAAACUUGUAUUUACUUGUAAUUAUAAUUCUUAACCAGCUUAAUAUUUAAAAAAUAAAAUUGACGAAGAUAAUUUUAGGGAAAAACAUAACGAAAACAGAAAAAAACCAUGUGGGAAAAAACACUGUAGCAACCAACAGUAAUUUUCGAGGAAAGUUAAAGUGCUUUCCUCACAUAUUGUAACUGUAAUUUUUAACCAGUUCAAUAUUAAAAAAUAAAAUAAAAAAAGAUAAUUUCGGAGAAAAUCAUAAAAAAAAACCAUGCGGAGAAACACUGUAGCAAUAAACAAUGUUUUAAAGAAAAAAAAUACAAAACUAAAUUCUCAAUCAGCUUCAUAUUAAAAAAUAUAUAUAUAUAAUUUUAAAAAAUAAAGAAAUAAAAUAGAAAAACUAUGUGGAAAAACAUCGCAGCAAUUCACAGUAUUUUCAAGAAAAAAAUUACAAAGCAAAAAUUUUAACCAGGUCAAUAUUUAAAAAGUAAAAUCAACAAAAAUAAUUUUGGAAAAAAUAAAAGAAAAAAUAAAUGAAAAAAAAGAAAAAUUAGGAAAGUUGAAAAAAAAAACGAAAAAAAAAAAAAGUUGGGAAGAAUCACUGUGGAUUACUGUUGUAAUCCACAGUGAAAUGUGUGGGGGGGAACAGUGAUUCCCCCACACCAUUUAGAGUAUGUGUUAAUAGAACUCUGUCUUGGGGUUAUAUAUGGCAGUAGAAGGAUAUAUACCCCAAAAUAGGGUUGGGAAGUCCUUUCCUCAAGGAUAUAUACCCCACAAUCUGUACAUGAUUUCUUUUUUCCUGGUAAUGGUAAUGGAUACUGGUAUACAUGAAUUGAACUUAAAUAAUGCAUAUAUUAUAACCUUGAUAAAUUAAUACUCACAUCUUGAUUAAAUAAUAUUUUUUGACUGGUC
rnacentral:lncRNA from 1 species